GACGAACGCUGGCGGCGUGCUUAACACAUGCAAGUCGAACGGUAAGGCCCUUCGGGGUACACGAGUGGCGAACGGGUGAGUAACACGUGGGUGAUCUGCCCUGCACUUCGGGAUAAGCCUGGGAAACUGGGUCUAAUACCGGAUAGGACCCUGGGAUGCAUGUCCUGGGGUGGAAAGCUUUUGCGGUGUGGGAUGGGCCCGCGGCCUAUCAGCUUGUUGGUGGGGUGAUGGCCUACCAAGGCGACGACGGGUAGCCGGCCUGAGAGGGUGACCGGCGACACUGGGACGGAGAUACGGCCCAGACUCCUACGGGAGGCAGCGGUGGGGAAUAUUGCACAAGGGGCGCAAGCCUGAUGCAGCAACGCCGCGUGAGGGAUGACGGCCUUCGGGUUGUAAACCUCUUUCAGCACCGACGAAGCGCAAGUGACGGUAGGUGCAGAAGAAGGACCGGCCAACUACGUGCCAGCCGCCGCCGUAA
rnacentral:rRNA from 1 species